rnacentral:pre_miRNA from 1 species
AAUGACACGAUCACUCCCGCUGAGCAAGCAGCCAGAGCCAUCGGGAAUAUCGUGUCCGUCC